rnacentral:rRNA from 1 species
UACGUAGGGGGCAAGCGUUAUCCGGAUUCACUGGGUGUAAAGGGAGCGUAGACGGCGACGCAAGUCUGGAGUGAAAGCCCGGGGCCCAACCCCGGGACUGCUCUGGAAACUGUUAAGCUGGAGUACUGGAGAGGCAAGCGGAAUUCCUAGUGUAGCGGUGAAAUGCGUAGAUAUUAGGAGGAACACCAGUGGCGAAGGCGGCUUGCUGGACAGAGACUGACGUUGAGGCUCGAAAGCGUGGGGAGCAAACAGG